rnacentral:rRNA from 1 species
GUGGGGAAUUUUGGACAAUGGGCGCAAGCCUGAUCCAGCAAUGCCGCGUGUGUGAAGAAGGCCUUCGGGUUGUAAAGCACUUUUGUCCGGAAAGAAAUCUCCUGGGUUAAUACCUCGGGGGGAUGACGGUACCGGAAGAAUAAGCACCGGCUAACUACGUGCCAGCAGCCGCGGUAAUACGUAGGGUGCGAGCGUUAAUCGGAAUUACUGGGCGUAAAGCGUGCGCAGGCGGCUCUGCAAGACAGAUGUGAAAGCCCCGGGCUCAACCUGGGAACUGCAUUUGUGACUGCAAGGCUAGAGUGCGUCAGAGGGAGGUGGAAUUCCGCGUGUAGCAGUGAAAUGCGUAGAGAUGCGGAGGAACACCGAUGGCGAAGGCAGCCUCCUGGGAUGACACUGACGCUCAUGCACGAAAGCGUGGGGAGCAAACAGGAUUAGAAACACUAGUAGUCC